rnacentral:rRNA from 1 species
AGAGUUUGAUCAUGGCUCAGGAUGAACGCUAGCGGCAGGCCUAAUACAUGCAAGUCGAACGAUAGUUAGGAGCUUGCUCCUAACGAAAAGUGGCGCACGGGUGCGUAACGCGUAUGCAACCUACCUUAAUCAGGGGGAUAGCCCGAAGAAAUUCGGAUUAACACCGCAUAAAAUCACAGUAUAGCAUUAUACAAUGAUCAAAUAUUUAUAGGAUUAAGAUGGGCAUGCGUGACAUUAGUUAGUUGGCGAGGUAACGGCUCACCAAGACUACGAUGUCUAGGGGAUCUGAGAGGAUGACCCCCCACACUGGUACUGAGACACGGACCAGACUCCUACGGGAGGCAGCAGUAAGGAAUAUUGGUCAAUGGAGGCAACUCUGAACCAGCCAUGCCGCGUGCAGGAAGACAGCCCUCUGGGUCGUAAGCUGCUUUUAUUCGGGAAUAAUUGCAUCUACGUGUAGAUGUUUGAAUGUACCGAAGGAAUAAGGAUCGGCUAACUCCGUGCCAGCAGCCGCGGUAAUACGGAGGAUCCAAGCGUUAUCCGGAUUUAUUGGGUUUAAAGGGUGCGUAGGCGGCUUAUUAAGUCAGGGGUGAAAGACGGUGGCUCAACCAUCGCAGUGCCUUUGAUACUGAUGAGCUUGAAUAUACUAGAGGUAGGCGGAAUGUGACAAGUAGCGGUGAAAUGCAUAGAUAUGUCACAGAACACCGAUUGCGAAGGCAGCUUACUAUGGUAUUAUUGACGCUGAGGCACGAAAGCGUGGGGAUCAAACAGGAUUAGAUACCCUAGUAGUCC